rnacentral:rRNA from 1 species
UACAGAGGGGGCAAGCGUUGUUCGGAAUUACUGGGCGUAAAGGGCGCGUAGGCGGCCUUCUAAGUCGAACGUGAAAUCCCCGGGCUCAACCCGGGAACUGCGUCCGAUACUGGAAGGCUUGAAUCCGGGAGAGGGAUGUGGAAUUCCAGGUGUAGCGGUGAAAUGCGUAGAUAUCUGGAGGAACACCGGUGGUGAAGGCGGCUCUCUGGAACGGUACUGACGCUGAGGCGCGAAAGCGUGGGGAGCGAACAGG